UACGUAGGGGGCAAGCGUUGUCCGGAAUCAUUGGGCGUAAAGCGCGUGUAGGCGGCCCGGUAAGUCCGCUGUGAAAGUCGGGGGCUCAACCCUCGAAUGCCGGUGGAUACUGUCGGGCUAGAGUGCGGGAGAGGCGAGUGGAAUUCCUGGUGUAGCGGUGAAAUGCGCAGAUAUCAGGAAGAACACCCGUGGCGAAGGCGGUUCUCUGGGACGGUACUGACGCUGAGACGCGAAAGCGUGGGGAGCGAACAGG
rnacentral:rRNA from 1 species